AAACUUACCUGGGUGAAGAAAUUCCUUGAUCAGGAAGGUGAUUCUCCCAUGGCCAGGUUUAGCUUUUGCACUCUGUGGGAAUGACCUCGUCUGUUUCUCCAAAUAUGAGAAAUGCAGCUGCAGGAGCUGUGGAAAGAUAUAAUAUUCUCAGUCCCUAAAAUACUAUAAA
ensembl:snRNA U1 U1 spliceosomal RNA